UACGUAGGUGGCAAGCGUUGUCCGGAUUUACUGGGCGUAAAGAGCGCGCAGGCGGUCGUUCAAGUCGAGUGUGAAAGCCCCCGGCUCAACUGGGGAAGGUCACUCGAUACUGAUCGACUCGAAGGCAGGAGAGGGAAGCGGAAUUCCCGGUGUAGUGGUGAAAUGCGUAGAUAUCGGGAGGAACACCAGUGGCGAAGGCGGCUUUCUGGCCUGUUCUUGACGCUGAGGCGCGAAAGCUAGGGUAGCAAACGGG
rnacentral:rRNA from 1 species